UACGUAGGGUGCGAGCGUUAAUCGGAAUUACUGGGCGUAAAGCGUGCGCAGGCGGUUUUGUAAGCCAGAUGUGAAAUCCCCGGGCUCAACCUGGGAACUGCAUUUGUGACUGCAUCGCUGGAGUGCGGCAGAGGGGGAUGGAAUUCCGCGUGUAGCAGUGAAAUGCGUAGAUAUGCGGAAGAACACCGGUGGCGAAAGCGGCUUCCUGGGCCGACACUGACGCUCAUGUACGAAAGCGUGGGGAGCAAACAGG
rnacentral:rRNA from 1 species